GCCGUUUCAAUCAAAUGCGAUGAAUGGUCACACAAAAUCAGUGUUUGACUGUAUUAUAAGUUCCUUACAAAACCAUGAACUGUUUGUAACAGAGAAGAACAUCAAUUUGAGUAUUUAACCUGUUGGUAGUAUUUGGGUAUAGAAUAGAAUAGUAUUUGGGUAUAGAAUAGAGUUGUAUAGAGUAGAGUAGUAUUUGGGUAUAGGAUAGAGUAGUAUUUGAGGGUACUGUGUAAAAUCAGUGGUUUAAAACAGGAUCUUUGAUAAAAUAGAAUGAAUAAAACACAGUACAGCAUUGUAAUGAUUUCCCUUCUGCCACCCCAUAUAAUUGGGCUAAAACAUGUAAGGGUGGCUAGAAAUAUACCACAUACUACUACAUAUAAUACCACAAAUAAUACUACAGUUACCUUAUUUGGAAGAACUGAAGUGGAAAUGGCUUAAUAUGGAAGCUGAGUGGUUUGAUGGUGAGAUAUGACGUAAUGAAAUGUGCACUCUGGUCAAGUAGUAUGUUGUUAUGGUAUGUCAGGCAUCCCUUGCACGAAAUGGUUCAGUCCGCCUUCCCCUGCUAGGCGCAUUUUUGAAGUAACGUUCAUUCUGCCGAAGCGGCAAUGCAGACUUUCACGGUGUGAAGAUGUCUAAAUCUAAGAAAGCUAAAUCCGGUUCCCAGAAAAGGAAAGAGAGGCAAGAAAGGGAGAAAAAAAUAAAUGAGGGAAAACAAGUGUUAACAGCCUUCUUUCCCAAGAAAGGUGAGCCCAAUGUGAAAGCAAUAGUCUACAAAUGAAAUGAACUCCUGAAGGUUACAAAACACUUCAAUACCACCGCGAAUCCGCGAUUAUCAGUGCUAAAACAGCAUUAACACAAAAUUAGAAAUAACAUGAUGCCUGAUUUAUAGCCUACCACAACAUUUCAAUAGCCUACUAAUUCGAAAAUUAUUAUGAGCUAAUAGCUUAACUUAGUAGGCUCAAUGUUAUAUAGGUUCAUGAGGAAAGGCUGUCAAAUUAGUAGCAAAGCUAACUUGUGAAACGCAUCACACUCAGUUAGCUAUAGAUAGCUAUAGCUGUUCUCUCAGCCAAAAGUGUUUUCAUUCAUUUCAUGUUCUAGCUUUUAAACAUUCUUCAAAUAAAACAGAAAUUCAGUGAA